AUAUCGUUGGGGGAAUGCUUUCGUUUCGUGGUGCUUUGAAGUGCAGCAGCAGGCAUUGCAAUCUCAAGGGCCUCGGCAAUCAUUUUAAUCAUGGUUAAUUGCGCUGUGUUCGGAUGCAAUAACGAGUCGCGGUGGAAAGCUGACUCUGGUGAGAACACGAAGAAGCUUAGCUUUUUUCUGUGCCGAAUGUUGUUCGUUGGCAGUGCAGCCAGACCUUAGAGAUCUCAACGAAGCGUCGAGCGGAAUGGUUUCGUUGCCUCUACCGGGGUGACAUUAACACAGACGCUACCCACUACAAAGUCUGCAGCGAGCACUUCGUUUCUGGCAGGCCAUCCUACUUAAUGGAUCUGACGAAUCCGGACUGGGCGCCAAGCUUGCACCUAGGGUAUGACACAAAGUCAACAACUCGGUCUGAAGAAAGGCACCAGCGACGUUGCAAGAGGGCUGCGACCCUUGACUACAAUGCUGAAUGCGCAGCAGAGCGCUGUGAACAGUACUGUCACAAGUAAAAUGGCUUAUUCAUA
rnacentral:lncRNA from 1 species